AUUGUUUCUCAGCCUUUUGGCUAAGACCAAGUGUAAUGUCUGUGCUAAUCAGUUUAAUAUCAGAUACAUCCUCAAUCCGAGGACAAUAUAUUAAAUGGAUUUUUGGAACAGGAGAUGGAAUAGGAGCUUGCUCCGUCCACUCCACACACCGACCUGGUAUUGCAGUACCUCCAGGAGUGGUGCACCCCGG
rnacentral:snRNA from 1 species